rnacentral:rRNA from 1 species
UGAUGGCGACCGGCGCACGGGUGAGUAACGCGUAUGCAACUUACCUAUCAGAGGGGGAUAGCCCGGCGAAAGUCGGAUUAAUACCCCAUAAAACAGGGGUCCCGCAUGGGAAUAUUUGUUAAAGAUUCAUCGCUGAUAGAUAGGCAUGCGUUCCAUUAGGCAGUUGGCGGGGUAACGGCCCACCAAACCGACGAUGGAUAGGGGUUCUGAGAGGAAGGUCCCCCACAUUGGUACUGAGACACGGACCAAACUCCUACGGGAGGCAGCAGUGAGGAAUAUUGGUCAAUGGCCGAGAGGCUGAACCAGCCAAGUCGCGUGAAGGAAGAAGGAUCUACGGUUUGUAAACUUCUUUUAUAGGGGAAUAAAGUGGAGGACGUGUCCUUUUUUGUGUGUACCCUAUGAAUAAGCAUCGGCUAACUCCGUGCCAGCAGCCGCGGUAAUACGGAGGAUGCGAGCGUUAUCCGGAUUUAUUGGGUUUAAAGGGUGCGUAGGUGGUGAUUUAAGUCAGCGGUGAAAGUCUGUGGCUCAACCAUAAAAUUGCCGUUGAAACUGGGUUACUUGAGUGUGUUUGAGGUAGGCGGAAUGCGUGGUGUAGCGGUGAAAUGCAUAGAUAUCACGCAGAACUCCGAUUGCGAAGG